UACAGAGGUCUCAAGCGUUGUUCGGAUUCAUUGGGCGUAAAGGGUGCGUAGGCGGCGCGGUAAGUCGGGUGUGAAAUCUCGGAGCUUAACUCCGGAAACUGCAUUCGAUACUGCCGUGCUUGAGGACUGGAGAGGAGACUGGAAUUUACGGUGUAGCGGUGAAAUGCGUAGAUAUCAGGAGGAACACCAAUGGCGAAGGCAGCUCGCUGGGACGGUACUGACGCUGAGACGCGAAAGCGUGGGGAGCAAACAGG
rnacentral:rRNA from 1 species